rnacentral:rRNA from 1 species
AACGUAGGACACAAGCGUUAUCCGGAGUUACUGGGCGUAAAGGGCGUGUAGGCGGACGUGUAAGUCUAUUCUGAAAGCUCCUGGCUAAACUGGGAGAGGCGAAUGGAGACUUGCAUAUCUAGAGUGAGGAAGAGGAAAGUGGAAUUCCGCGUGUAGUGGUGAAAUGCGUAGAGAUGGCGGAGGAACACCAGUGGCGAAAGC